UGUAUUUCUGGUAAUGUAGCUUAAAAGAGCAUCUAGCUUGUCACUGGGUGGGACUGAGAUCUUUUCCCUUGCAUUUUUCUGGCUCUGCGCCUCUUUCCCCGACAGGUGCUUACAAUAUGGGAAGGGACAACAAAUAUCCUUUCUUUGGAUGUUCUUCGCUCCAUUGCCAAAAGUGGAGGAAAAGUGCUGGAUGCCUUCUUCUCUACAGCCCGGGCCAAGUUGGAGGUCGCUCUCGGUGCCCCUGAACUAGAAGUUUCUGUGCAAAUUGUGCAGAAAGCGCUCCACAAACUCAGACUCUUCACUCGGGAGAUGGGAUUAAAGGGGGAAGAAGGGAUGCAGUUGUCAGCAAGAGACUUUGCCUACACCCUUGCACGGAUCUAUGGAGGAGUUCUCUUACUGGAACAUGCUGCCAGGCCCAGUGCAUCUGCUACAGACAUCUUUACUGCACAGAGGUGGUGUCAACAAGACCUGUGCCUUGUGGACAGAGAAGACAAGGCCGGCUCUUACAGCACUGCAGCCGUUUCACUGGAUCACACUUUGGUUUUUGGUGGAUACCCAUUUGUGAGAGGAAAACUGUAAGGAAGCAUCAAGAAGACAAAGGAAGGGCCAUGCGCUCGGUUGCACAAACAAAUAGAACAUGCACACUUCUGAUUCUUUUCUGCAGAAUAUUAACUGAUUGCUUAUUAUAAGAAUUUAAUCAUGUGACGGCAAGUCAAUUCUGCCUUAUGGCGACUCUUUCCAGGGUUUUCCAGGUAGGGAACCAAGAGAAGUGAUCCUCGGACUGUGCACCUGUGGAGGACAUUUCUUCUUGUGUGGACUUUUGCUAUAUAUGAAAUUCGUGGGCUAUCUUUAUAUAAUUGCUAGAGCCCCAUACUGUAUACAUGGUUAUAUUUCAAAGUUGCAAUGAGGGAGGUGUCCACACAGUUUGCCCAAGGCCAGACAGGUUCCUUCAGUGACAGGAGAGCCAGCUU